rnacentral:lncRNA from 1 species
AAGUUGCUUGAGUUAGAAAACCCUUUAAAUCCAUUUAUGUCAUACAGAUUCUUUCCCCACUCUUCCCGCGGUAUGCCUGGUUUUGUGGGUGUAAACACCGCGAAGCUUUUUAAAGCAGCCCUUACAGAGCUGUGGGAGGAGCAAGUGCUUGUGGCCAGGGCUUCAGUGUCCAAAGCUGUACUGAGGAUCUUCUCGACUGUCUUCCUCAAGCUGUACUUUCUUUCUUAAAACGUGGUAACUGCGGAUGCAUCUGGUAAUAUGAGAAGACGAAGACAAGAGUAGAGACCUCUUCUGAAAGAUAGAUUAUUCCUGGUGGCAGGGUGUAUCUUUUUCCAAUUAAAAAAAAAAAAAGAAGAAGACAACGUAUUUGUUGCUCUAGGAACCCUUGCAAGAUUAGGGAGUGACUGAUCUCCGUGCUGCUAGGGAGACCAGCUUUCGUGGCCCCUCCUGCGGCCUCGCUAGCCCUGGCCACCCGAGGCUGCCUAGGGAGGCACCGCGCUCAGCUUCUCUGCCCUGGAUCUCAGCACCCGCCACCACCCAUGCGCUCGGCGGUGCAGGUCCUGGGGACAGUUAGCUCCUCCUUCCUUCCACGGGGUUAGCACAUCUGGGCGCCUUUGCUGGGAGGACUCAGGGUUGGAGAGAGGCUCGGGGCGGGGAUAAGCCAGUGCAGAAGGUGUCUGGUGACAAGGAGGGUUUCCCUACCCGCGCCUCUCUCCGGUCUGAGCGCACCUUGCGGGCAGCUGGUGGGGCGGCCGACCUACUCCACCGUGAGAGUGGGUCUGCAGGAGCUAGGGUCCUUCCCUCUCUCUGUGGGGUGUCCAGCUGGACUUUGGGGGACACUGCCCACGCCAGAAGGUGUUGAUGCACGAGGAACUUUUCUAUGGCGAAUCUAAAACACCGUCAGUAUUCUAGCAACACUGGCGACCAUGAAAGGCGGAUUUGAAGUCACUCC